rnacentral:rRNA from 1 species
GUGGGGAAUUUUGGACAAUGGGCGCAAGCCUGAUCCAGCAAUGCCGCGUGCAGGAAGAAGGCCUUCGGGUUGUAAACUGCUUUUGUACGGAACGAAACGGUCCUGGCUAAUAUCCGGGGCUAAUGACGGUACCGUAAGAAUAAGCACCGGCUAACUACGUGCCAGCAGCCGCGGUAAUACGUAGGGUGCGAGCGUUAAUCGGAAUUACUGGGCGUAAAGCGUGCGCAGGCGGUGCUGUAAGACAGGCGUGAAAUCCCCGGGCUCAACCUGGGAAUUGCGCUUGUGACUGCAGUGCUGGAGUGCGGCAGAGGGGGAUGGAAUUCCGCGUGUAGCAGUGAAAUGCGUAGAUAUGCGGAGGAACACCGAUGGCGAAGGCAAUCCCCUGGGCCUGCACUGACGCUCAUGCACGAAAGCGUGGGGAGCAAACAGGAUUAGAUACCCUAGUAGUCA